UAGGGAAUCUUCGGCAAUGAACGGAAGUCUGACCGAGCAACGCCGCGUGAGUGAAGAAGGUUUUCGGAUCGUAAAGCUCUGUUGUAAGAGAAGAACGAGUGUGAGAGUGGAAAGUUCACACUGUGACGGUAUCUUACCAGAAAGGGACGGCUAACUACGUGCCAGCAGCCGCGGUAAUACGUAGGUUCCGAGCGUUGUCCGGAUUUAUUGGGCGUAAAGCGAGCGCAGGCGGUUAGAUAAGUCUGAAGUUAAAGGCUGUGGCUUAACCAUAGUAGGCUUUGGAAACUGUUUAACUUGAGUGCAAGAGGGGAGAGUGGAAUUCCAUGUGUAGCGGUGAAAUGCGUAGAUAUAUGGAGGAACACCGGUGGCGAAAGCGGCUCUCUGGCUUGUAACUGACGCUGAGGCUCGAAAGCGUGGGGAGCAAACAGGAUUAGAUACCCUGGUAGUCCACGCCGUAAACGAUGAGUGCUAGGUGUUAGACCCUUUCCGGGGUUUAGUGCCGUAGCUAACGCAUUAAGCACUCCGCCUGGGGAGUACGACCGCAAGGUUG
rnacentral:rRNA from 1 species